CCCUUAGAUGUUCUGGGCUGCACGCGCGCCACACUUAUGCGUUCAACGAGUUUAUGACCUUCCUCGAUAGGGUUGGGUAAUCUUCUUGUGAAUCGCACUGCGAUGGGGAUAGAUUAUUGCAAUUUUUAAUCUUCAACGAGAAAUUCCUUGUAAGCGCGAGUCAUCAGCUCGUGCUGAUUGCGUCCUUGCCCUUUGUACACAUCGCCCGUCGCUCGUACCGAUUCAGUGAUCCGGUGAAUAUUUCGGACUGCAGCAGUGUUCUGCUCCUGAACGCUGCAGCGGAAAGUUUAGUGAAUCUUAUCACUUAGAGGAAGGAGAAGUCGCAAUA
rnacentral:rRNA from 1 species